rnacentral:lncRNA from 1 species
UUUUUGUAUAAAAACCACAAAGAAAGAUGCUUCUUUAACAGAUUCCUGCCGACCCCACCUUUAAACUCAAGUCCCGCCUCUGACAAAGUGUAUGACCAAUCAUAAUUAGGGAUUUUGUGUUUACAUCUGAAGUUCGGGAACAUGGCACCCCUGGCCACCCCAAAACAUGAAUAAAACAGUCGAACGGUUCACUUUGGUGAAUCACAGAAUCACAGAAUCUGCAGGUAAGAUGACGUCAAAAUGGUCUGGAGGGUGUUACGCCAUUCUAACCUCAAUUAACCUCCUUUUCAGACCGACAGCCAUUAAAAAUACUCAUAAUUUGUCUCAGUGUCUCAUUAUUCUGACUGCUGAGGAUGACUAAACACAAACAGCUGCUAAUGUUAGCUAAUCUUAGCAUUCGGUGUAACAUCUGCCUUCCUAAACUCAUUAUAGAAACCAUCUUGCACCCAGAUUUCGUAUAUUCGGAGAAUAACGUAAGCCUUAUGGGUAAUUUCUCUGAAUUGUAACACUCCUAAAAAAAGCUAUCUCUUUGAUGCUCUGUUCAGUUUAAGUGGAAACAGAUGCUCUUAUUGAGGGACCAUCCUGUCACCAAUGUUUCUGUCUUUAUACAGCCAACACAAACAGGGAGUGACAGUGAGACGCUCAAGAAUCUGCAGUGAAAUGUGAACACGAUGCAGAGCUGUAGCAUGAGGCUGUCGAACACACUCAAACUCCAUCACACGGGGGCUUUUGUUGCUGUAUGAGCUCCUCUUCAGAGACACACUUUGUUCCCUCACCCAGAUAUGGAGGUUUCUUCUCCCUCUCCAGAGAUGAGAGGUAAUUUUAACACACAGCACUUAGGUGACACCAGCUGGGACAGAGCUGCUAUUACAUGAUGUGCCGGGCUCCAAUUAAAUUUUACCACCUCCAGCUCAUGUGGGCACUCACAACCACACACACGGUAAGAUGUCUCACAAGCUCAGAGACACUAUUUCCAACACCUCCAUCCUUCCUUUUCACACAUUUGUAGUUUGAUAGCAUCUGCAGCGCUGCGUCUGAGUAUUUUUGGAGACUGCAUGAAAAUGUAGGAGGAGGGGGCCUGAUGAGCCUUCUGUUCUCUUAUUAUUGGGAGUCAUACGUCAGUGUGAAAAAUCAGAUUGUGCAAAACAUGAACUAAACAAGAGUCUUGAACUGUGUAACACUUUUUAAUGGUUUUUAGAGAUGUGCACGACACCGUACCGGACAUUAAAGAUUCUGUUUCAUUACGCUUAUUAAAAUGUGGAGUCCAAAACAAGAUCUGUAAAGAUCCAGACCAGUUUCUACAAGGAGAUUUAUGGAUGUGAGAAGAUCAAAAUUACUGAAUAAACUCUUAUUUUUGGACAGAAAAUGAAAACUAUUUAAUUGGACGAGCGACAAACCUCCACUGUGACUCAGUGGUACAAAGAAAUUCUUAGAGCUUUUACUAAGUGCCGGAUGAUAGUGAUGGACACGGCAGUUCUUUUACAUGUACUGAAUCACUAGAAUCAGUUCACUAAAAAGAUUCGUUCAAAAGAUUCAUUUAGCGUUUGGCGGGAGAAACCUGCGACCCCGACCUUUUAAACUGAUUCACAGCUGAACGAUUCAGGAUUCAGUUCAGAUCAGAGCUUCUGAGACCAGGAGACGAGAGUGUUUGUCUGUGUUACUUUGACAAACAGGUUUGUAAAAAUGAACUUGUUUAUAGGUCCCUUGUUCUCCAGAUGCUGGCCUGGCAAUGCUGUUUCUCACUUCAGCUCAAGUGAAGUGAGAAACAACCAAAUCUCUUCCCCAAGUGAUUCGGUUCAGUACAUUCACUUAAAAGAUUCGGUUCUUUUGAACGAAUUGUUCGCGAAUGACACAUCACUACCAAAUUAAAAGAGAAUGUUGAUAUCUUUAAGGAAACAUGGCGGCCCCUUAUGGAUUACUUGCCUAAAGGUCGAAGUGAAACUAUACAGAGGGUGGUUAAGGGGGUCCCAGACUGAGUUAAUCAUAAAAAAUACUUGUUUUUUUAAUGAAUAAAAGGACACAUAUUUCUUUAAUCAACGACACAUUGUUGUUGCUGCUGGGGUUUUCUUUGUUUACCCUUCUUUUUGUUUUUUUUCCUCAUGUUUUAUCAUUUUCUUGUCAUUUUCUACCUUAUUUGAAUUAAAAUGAUAUUUGGUUCUUUGUAAAUUCUGAAAAUAAAAUAAAAAAUUUUAAAAUGUAGAGGCCCCUAACCCGUGUUUAUUACACUCUUUAGUCUGCUGUUGUACCUAAUAACUUUAAAGUAUCCAAAGUUUCUAUGUUGCCUUGUUUUUUUCAAUCUUUAAAAAAUUAGGAUAUUUAAGAAUUAAAAAAACACAUCUGGAUGAGAGUACCAGACUGUGCAGCCAUGGAUGUGGUUUCUCCAGAACAAAAAAAGACCACAGACAUUAUUGUUCAUGACAGUUUUUCAGGGUUCGACGAUCAGGAAACUCUCUCUGAACUGUGAAAUAACAGAAAACAACACGUACCUCAGUUAGAGUCAAGCGAACGCACGGGGGGUACCUCAGGGAUCCAUCCUCGGACCGCUAUUGUUUUCUGACAUCUCUCCAAUCUCUGUGAAUAUGCAAUAACUUCAUCAUUUACUGAAGACACUCGUCUUAUUCACUGGUUAGGAAAGCAAAAGCAGAGCUGUCAUCUGUUUUUUGGAUGGUUUUAGAGGAACAAACUCUCCCUCAAAUACAUAAACAUAAUUUCAAUGUGAGAGAAUCAAACUGAAAAGUGGAAAGUUUACUUACAUUAUAAAGUUUUUGUCACUUGGUGGCAUCAGUGAGUGAGUUUUGUGGUCUGUGUGGAGUUUUCUCAAGGUUGGGCGGCUCCUCCUGCACCGACACACCUGAACCUCAUCACCUGCAAUCAGCUCAGCCUGGAUGUCAGAUUAUUCCCACACCUCCUGUGUUAUCUCAGCCAGUUUUGAGUAUCCUGAUUUUGAGACUCAUUCUCGUGAAUGUGUGCUGUACCUGUUUCUAACUCUUGUUCUCCUCCUCUUCCCUCUAGUGCCUGACUCGCUCUCCAGAUCACUCACCUGCCUCCUCACCCUCGCCUCAUCGCGGAGCUCACACAGUGGAUCUAGGACCUCAUUCCCCUCCCAACCUGCACUUCACAUAAAUCUUUAAACACUUCCUGUUGCCUCCGGCCUGCUUCUGGGUUUAACUUAAAACACAGCCGUGGG